rnacentral:rRNA from 1 species
GACGAACGCUGGCGGCGCGCCUAACACAUGCAAGUCGAACGAGCGAGAGAGAGCUUGCUUUCUCAAGCGAGUGGCGAACGGGUGAGUAACGCGUGAGGAACCUGCCUCAAAGAGGGGGACAACAGUUGGAAACGACUGCUAAUACCGCAUAAGCCCACAGGUCGGCAUCGACCAGAGGGAAAAGGAGCAAUCCGCUUUGAGAUGGCCUCGCGUCCGAUUAGCUAGUUGGUGAGGUAACGGCCCACCAAGGCAACGAUCGGUAGCCGGACUGAGAGGUUGAACGGGCACAUUGGGACUGAGACACGGACCAGACUCCUACGGGAGGAAGCAGUGGGGAAUAUUGCACAAUGGGGGAAACCCUGAUGCAGCGACGCCGCGUGGAGGAAGAAGGUCUUCGGAUUGUAAACUCCUGUUGUUGAGGAAGAUAAUGACGGUACUCAAAAAGGAAGAGACGGCUAACUACGUG